CAAAGGGAUAUACAUAAGGUCACAGUGACCUUGACCUUUGACCUUUGGCUACCAAAAUGUUACAAGUUAUUAUUUGAAUCCAAGUGACUGUUUCUAGCCCUGAGAUAUGCCUAUGCUGGAGAGA